CAUUCGAUCAGCUCUCUUUUUCCCUCUCUUUUUCUCUGAACAGCGAUCUCUUUCCCUCUCUUUCUCUCUUGCUUCCUCCUCAACCUAACCCUUACAUCUCUCUCACCUAACCAAAGAAUCCCUAACCUCCUUAAGGUUAGAACCCUUCUACUGUGUUUGUGUUUACCCCAAACCUUCGUUGGUUGGUUGAAGAAACAGAGAACGUUUCUGCAGCUACACUACAUAAGGUAAUGUAUCUUUAUUUUUCAUCUCUUUAUAUGUUUUGAUUAGAAAUUUUGGUAAUGUAUUGUUCAAGAAAGAAAGUAUACUCUUGUACGAAUUAUUACCGGUUCAUUAUAUCUCCGGCGAGUCUCUCUCGAGUGUAAAUUUUCACUUCUUCAUUAGACCUACAGUCUCUCCAAUUCUUCUUCUUCAAUUCAAAUUUAUCAAGAGACCAAGCCAUUAUCCUAUUGUGAUCGAUCGAAAUUAGCCUACAGGCUGCAGCUUUGGCCCAUAAAAAUUCAGAAGCUACACGAGCAUUAGCAAUCCAAGACGAUAAUCUGGAGAAGGAGCUUGGUGAGAUGCAAAAGGCUAUGCUGGCUAUGCAGUUAUUUGCAAGAACACACACUUAAUCUUGGUGGGUUGAGGAAUACAUAUGCAUUUAAUAAUCCUGCUUCAGUAUCAACUGAAGCUGGUAAACUCAAACAACGUUCAGAGAAUCUAUGUCAGCGAAUGAUGGGUAUGCAACCUGAACAAUGGUUGAUAUGUCCGUGGAAUUCAGGUGAUCACUGGUUGACAAUUAUGAUUCAUGCCAAUACUCAAAGUGUUGCAUAUCUUGACUCGACGAAUGACUUUAUCCGAACUGAUAUUAUGAAAUGUAUCCAAAAUGCUGUGGACAUGUACAGGAUCGAAAAAAAAUAUACGAAACAAGGGUCCAGUAAAAAUCAACCAAUACACGUGUCGACAGCAGCCGGAUGGAGUACAAUGUGGUUAUUAUGUUAUGAAGAUUAUUCAGAGUUUCAUGACGGUUGUUAAUCCUGCAAGUUUUUUGAAAAAUCAUUUCAAGUUAGACGCUCCCUAUAGUAACGAGGAGAUCAAUGCCGUACGGGAUGAGUUUGCCGAAUUUGUGAAGCCAUUGAUUAUAGAUUAAGUACUUAAGGUUACUACACUUUUGAUAUAAUACAUGAGUAACAAGUUUUAUGAUUAUUGUUAUCUUUCGCAUAUAUUAUUAGUUUAUAUUUAGUUUACGAUAUACAUGGAAUUUAAGUUUUAGAAUCGAUUUUAUUAACAA